rnacentral:rRNA from 1 species
UACGGGGGGAGCAAGCGUUGUUCGGAUUUACUGGGCGUAAAGGGCGCGUAGGCGGUCAGCACAAGUCAGUUGUGAAAUCUCCGGGCUUAACUCGGAAAGGUCAACUGAUACUGUGCGACUAGAGUGCGGAAGGGGCAACUGGAAUUCUCGGUGGUAGCGGAUGAAAUGCGUAGAUAUCAGGAGGAACACCGGUGGCGAAGGCGGCCUGCUGGGCCGAUCCUGACGCUGAGGCGCGAAGGCGUGGGGAGCGAACGGG